UGUUAGGUUAGUGUAAAAGUAACUGUGGUUUUCGCCAUUAAAAGUAAUGGCGAAAACCGCAAUUACUUUUGCACCAACCUAAUA
rfam:Nomascus leucogenys chromosome 22a, whole genome shotgun sequence.